rnacentral:rRNA from 1 species
CAAAUGACUCUCAGCAACGGAUAUCUUGGCUCUUGCAACGAUGAAGAACGCAGCGAAAUGCGAUACCUAGU